GAAGGCUGGAAAAGUGCCAUGGGACA
rnacentral:piRNA from 1 species